UGGGGAGACACCAGACUGAUCCCUGCAGUAACAGAGCAGCACCAGUGGGUCCAACUGCACAGAACCAUGAAGUACCUGGGAAUCCUGCUGCUUCUUAUAUUCUCUGCAACUCUCAUCUCCGGAGGUAUUGUUGAUGAACCAGGACAUGGGUGUGAGAACUGUGAGAACUGUUGCGACACGAUUGACUCUGAUGAUACAGUCAUUGCAUCGUGUGGUCAUUGUGUGAAGCAUCUGUGCUGCGACAGGAUACUCAAUCGAGGAUAGGCGACUGACUCAUAAUGGGACCCGCCAUCACUCAAUAACCAGAGGCCUUUGGUUGGUUCCUGUUGUGAGUCUGGGGCAGCAGAUUAUAUUAUACUGUAUGUUGUACCUUCUCCAUGUGCUGCAGAGAAUUCUCACAGACUGGAUACUGACAAAUCCCAAUAAAGUUCCCCUGAAUGUGCUAUAAACCCUCA